AAAAGGACAAAAUCAAAAUCGAAGCUAAAAGCCCAGAAUUAGAAUUCUUCAUUAAGAACUUUUUGGCAUUAAGAAAAAUAAUUAAUAUUUCCCAGCAUCUGUUAAUUUUUUCCACCUACAUAAAUUGUGCUAGAAUCCAAAUUAUUUAAAUUUACCCUUCUAGCUCAUAAAAUACAA